UCUCGUUUGGAGCCCAUUUGUCACGUAAGGUUCGACUCCUCCUCUACCCAUUUCCCAUUUUUCAUGUUCCUUUGCUUACCAGAGACCACGCGAAGAAGACUGCAACGUUCGACGACCGCCGCCUCUGCUUCAAACGUUCGACGAUCGUCGCUUCUGCCUCAAACGUUCGACGAUCGUCGCUUCUGCCUCAAACGAUGGACAAUCGCCACUUCUGCCUCAAACGAUGGACAAUCGCCACUUCUGCCUCAAACGAUCGACGACUGCACGCCUCAUAUGAUCCUUCAACGAUGAAACGAUCCUUCGACGACGAAAAUGAUCCUUCGACGAAAACGACCCUAAACGAUCCUUCGACGACGAAACCACUGCCUCAAACGAGCGACGGCCAAGCCCACCCUCAAAGGACGCUGCUACUGCUUCUCUCUCCGUUGUCUCUCUAUCACGAAACCCACCCUCAAACGACGACUCUACUGCCUCAAAUGACCACUCUCUAUCCAUCGUAUUCUCUUAUAUCUAUAGGCAGAGCUGGAGACAGUAUCUGAAAUCACACAUGAGAAGGGCAAGAAAAAAGAUAGUCAAAAGAUAAAGUAUGGAACUAUAAAGUUGCUUUUGUCCUCAGUACUGAAUUGCUUUAUCAUAGUUGGGUGAGAACAUAUUCGUUGGAGUUAUUAUUACAUCUUCCUCAGUUGCUCUCUUCUGUUAUUGGACAAUGGGACAAGAGCACUCCAGUUACAGUAUGUCUUUUCUCUGGAAAAUGAAGAAUCCGAUGACAUUACAACCUUGAUUGAUAAAAAAGUAAGUUUGAAAUGAGUUUUAGUAUUUGAUAAUGAAUGGAUACUACGGCUAACAUUCAUUCUAUGUAUGAUUUCCCUGUCACUAGUUUGGUUGCUUUGGUUGUUGAAUUAGAGAGUUGAGACGCAUGGCCAUUGCUAUAAGAGUUACAUAAAAUGAGUAAGUAUUAAGUAUUCAAUAAAGGGCUGAUGCCUGGGAAAUUUCAUGACUACAGGGUGACUUUAUGAAAAUUUUGUUUGAUGAUAAAACAUUUGAUGCAAGGCACUCAUCACGCUCCAGACUCGGUACAUUCUAAUGACAUUUUUGAAGUAUGGGUUUAGAGCAAUCAUUCUUUUGAAUUAACUGCUGCUUCCCCUAUGGCAGUAUGAUUGCUUCAAGGAGAUCUACAGAGUAUUAAAGCCGGGCUAAAUAACCAAGAUCACCAAAAAAAUAAAGGUUAUCUUACUGAUUUUGUCCCCCAUUUCCUUUGAUCUUAUACACUUAUAUCGACAAUGUCCAUAUCCAUAGGCUGAAAUUGAGAUUGACAGUGGGCUUCCAGAUAUCAGGACAAUAGGAAAGUGUCUUGAAGCUUUAUGUAGAUGAAUGAAAUGGUUUCUUAAUGAGAGGACUAGAGAACUAACGAUGACAGUUAGCAUAUCUAUUAUAUUUGAUCACUUAUGGUGAACUUUGUAUUUUGAAGGUUAAUUUGUGUUGUUGGUACAUUUACUAAACUUUGUAUUUACCUUCAUAUUAUUUAGAUCUCAACUUUAAUUAAAUAAA